rnacentral:rRNA from 1 species
AACGAACGCUGGCGGCAUGCUUAACACAUGCAAGUCAAACGAGAUCUUCGGAUCUAGUGGCGCACGGGUGCGUAACGCGGGGGGAUCUACCAAAGGGUACGGAAUAACUCAAAGAAAUUUGUGCUAAUACCGUAUAAUGUCGCAAGACCAAAAAUUUAUCGCCUUUUGAUGAACCCGCGUAAAAUUAGCUUGUUGGUGAGGUAAGAGCUCACCAAGGCGACAAUCUUUAGCUGGUCUGAGGGGAUGAUCAGCCACACUGGGACUGAAACACGGCCCAAACUCCUACGGGAGGCAGCAGUGGGGAAUAUUGGACAAUGGGCGAAAGCCUGAUCCAGCAAUGCCGCGUGAGUGAUGAAGGCCUUAGGGUCGUAAAGCUCUUUUACCAGGGAUGAUAAUGACAGUACCUGGAGAAUAAGCUCCGGCUAACUCCGUG